AUUGAACGCUGGCGACAGGCCUAACACAUGCAAGUCGAGCGCGAAAGUCUUCGGAUGAGUAAAGCGGCGAACGGGUGAGUAAUGCAUGGGAAUCUGCCUGGUAGUGGGGGACAACGUCUCGAAAGGGACGCUAAUACCGCAUACGCCCUACGGGGGAAAGGGGGGGAUCUUCGGACCUCUCGCUAUCAGAUGAGCCCAUGUCAGAUUAGCUAGUUGGUGAGGUAAAGGCUCACCAAGGCGACGAUCUGUAACUGGUCUGAGAGGAUGAUCAGUCACACUGGAACUGAGACACGGUCCAGACUCCUACGGGAGGCAGCAGUGGGGAAUAUUGGACAAUGGGGGCAACCCUGAUCCAGCCAUGCCGCGUGUGUGAAGAAGGCCCUAGGGUUGUAAAGCACUUUCAGUGGGGAGAAAGGUUAUUCACCUAAUACGUGAGUAGAUUGAUGUUACCCACAGAAGAAGCACCGGGCUAAACUCCGUGCCAGCAGCCGCGGUAAU
rnacentral:rRNA from 1 species